AAAGUGUGAUUAAAAUGUGACUAUAAGAUAGGAAUUCGGGUAAGAAAUUUAAAAGUAAUGCUUCCAAAACCAAGAAAAGUGAUUCCAAAAAACAUAAAAAACGAGUCAUGAUUCCACCCCUGAAAUUUAUGGAACACUCACCAUUGCCUUUUAUAACCACUUCAACAAUUUCCCAUAACCUUUUACACGAUAAAGUGGGUGAUUUUUCUCUCCCACUGCUGUAUCUUAUAGACCCUCUUUGCUUCACGUGAAUCUUUGUCCUUUUCAGCUUUUCUUUUCUUAAUCUUAAAUUAUGAAAACACUUUCUUGAAAUAAAAUCAGAUUAAAAACAAAAACACACCCGCACAUAGAGCGCAUUUUCUUUUUCUUGCUUUUACAAGUUUCAACUUGACCCGAUAUUUCGGAGCCGAAACGUCAAGUGUUCCGAAAUUUCGUAAUGGGUCGGUUACCAGAGACAGUCGUUGAAGCUAAACGACGACGCUUCGAGGUGGUCGAACGGCCACCCAGUUGGGAUCGAUCCACAGAGGUGGUUGUGGCUCAGAUCCAGGUGGCCGAUAUACGCAGCCGAUGACAAAGAUUUCGGUAUCUGACCCUUGAGGUUGUUGUACGAUAAAUCCAGUCCUAUGAAGUACGUUUUCGACCCGAAAACGUCUGGUAAUUUGCCUUCGAGCGAGUUUCGGCUGAGGUUGAGGAUGUUGAGUCCGGUGUUGCUCAGUAGAGAUGCCGGGAUGGAACCGGAGAGUCUGUUGCUGUCGAGGUUGAGAGUGGAGAGAACCGGCAUUGAACCGAGUUCAGCCGGGAUCACACCGGAGAUUUGGUUUACGGAGAGGUCAAAAUCGGCGAGCCGGUAAAGGCCUGAGAUGGAGCUCGGAAUGGUGCCGGUGAGCUGGUUCCGGCCGAGCAUGGCUCGGCUCAGCAUCGUGAGUUUUCCGAAAUCCUGCGGAAUUCCGCCG
rnacentral:lncRNA from 1 species